rnacentral:lncRNA from 1 species
AUUAUUUCUCUGGAAUAAAGUAAAAAUUAGAAUAAGUAACUAUUAUUUUUUUUAAGUAAGAAUUAUUCUACUUUCUAAUGAAUCGGCAAUAACAACAAUAGCCAUGAUAAUAGAAAUUGUUUUCGCCAAUAAUUUCGCUUACUUGGCCAUCAGCUGUAACCAGGGUAGCUUAGGCAAUAAGUCGUUAGAUAAUAAACGGUAAAAAGUUUUUAAUUUAAAAAUUAUUUUUUUACUCAUUUUUCAUAUAAGAAAAAAAGCGGAUUAUUUUCAAUUAACUUUUAUUUUAUUUUUGGCGAAAUUGCCUAUUUAUCAAAGGUCGCAAAAAUUAAAAUGUCAGUGUUGCAGUUAUAAGUCCAAGAACCCUGUAAAACGGACAUUCAGUUCCUAUUUAUGUUUAGACCCACUAUUGUGACAGUUCCCGAGUACGGUUGUGUGCGCGCCACUCCUACUCUCAUCCAGCUUUUUUGAUGACCCACUGCAGGAAGAGGUUGUUAGUUUAAUUGCAAGAAAAUAUGGAGGAACCGCCAUAAAAGUACUUUAUGUCGAGCAGUUUCUCCAUCAUAAAAUCCUACCAUCGGAAGAUAGGAGAUACCUAAUCCUAUAGGAAGCCCAUCUUAUAACAUCCUAUAAUAAGUGAUAGAACAGAUAUUUGAGCGGCUUUUUUGGUGAUGGCUGUUUUAAUAUAAGUUUACAACAAAAUGGAAGUUAGUUUAGAAUUUAGUCUUGGAGAAUUGAUGCGGAAGAUGAAUUUUCUCGCAUUGAAAGCGAAAUAAAUGGUCAUUAAGUUCUGGCAAAUUAAUUUGAAUUAUAAAGUGUUAUCCAUUAUAAUAUCGAGACGGGGGUAAGAUCACAUCAUUUAAAGUUUAUUAUAAAUUUUUUUUUUCCAGAGUGAAAUAUGUUUAUGGCAUGUAGUAUGGUAUAUUUGGCCUUAAAACGUUAUUUGAACUGCUAUCUAUUGUUGGAGGGAUGUUUUUUAACUCUUUGUGUGUGCUCCAUGUCUUAUGUCGAAGAAUGAAAGAUUACUCGCGUUUCCCGGGGCUAUCGGAUUUCUUACUUCAAAAUAAUCUUCCUAAGAACACUUUAUACAAAAUACAACUAUUGAAUCGAAUAACAGAACUCGAUUUUUUUUAUCUAUAUUUUUUUAAACAGACAACUUAUUUGUAUCAAUUCAAAAUUGGAUGGAUGGUUAUAUAUAGAGAGAGGAAUAGUAAAAAAAAAAAAAAAAACAGCGAAUAUAUCAGUACGAGC